rnacentral:lncRNA from 1 species
AAAACAGGAGCGGUUCGCCCUAUAAGGAAAUUCCCCGCCUCCCAGCCCAUCAUGCCUUGCUGCCGACUUCCGGUUCUCCAGGGUAUAAAGCGGCGGCUCCGGGCCAAAUUUCAGGAGAAGCUUUGGUGCGAGCCUCUUGACUCUUCUGACCUGGAUCGUUUUCCCUGGAAUAAAUGGUGUCAGACUCGUUGCUAAAUAGUCUGACAACCAGAGGGGACGAGCCCAUGGCUGCCGAAGGUUCCAGGUCAGCCCCCAGAGCCCGGUGAAGCCACUCUACCUCCCGCUCGCUCUUCGCGUCUCAGGUAAUCUUCGAAGCAAGGGAAGAGAAGAGUAUGCUAUCCUGUCAUGACAUUUCUUUUCAAAAUACGUGGCUUAAAGAGGAACGGAAAGAGAAGGUGAGUUUCAUGAGGACAAUGCAGAGGAACUCAUGUGUAUGCUGUGUAUGCAGUGGUUUGGAGUCACAAGUGAGGAAUACUGAGCCUGCAGAAGCCACUGUAUUAAUAAAACCUUUAAAUUUGUGA